rnacentral:rRNA from 1 species
GGAAUUACUGGGCGUAAAGCGUCUGUAGGUGGUUUAGUAAGUCGAUUGUUAAAGCUUGAGGCUUAACUUCAAAACAGCAAUGGAAACUGCUAGACUUGAGUAUGGUAGAGGUAAAAGGAAUUUCCAGUGGAGCGGUGAAAUGCGUAGAUAUUGGAAAGAACACCGAUGACGAAGGCAUUUUACUGGGCCAUAACUGACACUCAGAGACGAAAGCUAGGGUAGCAAAUGGGAUUAGAUACCCCAGUAGUCCUAGCUGUAAACGAUGGAUACUAGAUGUUGCACGUAUCGACCCGUGCAGUGUCAUAGCUAACGCGUUAAGUAUCCCGCCUGGGAAGUAUGCGCGCAAGCGUGAAACUCAAAGGAAUUGACGGGGGCCCGCACAAGCGGUGGAGCAUGUGGUUUAAUUCGAAGCAACGCGCAGAACCUUACCAACCCUUGACAUCCUAGGACCGCCAGAGAGAUUUGGCUUUCACUUCGGUGACCUAGUGACAGGUGCUGCAUGGCU